CAGCCGCCGCGGUAACACCAGCCCCUCGAGUGGUGGGGAUGAUUAUUUGGCCUAAAGCGUCCGUAGCUUGCCGGAAAAGUUUCCCGUUAAAUCCGACGUCUCAAGCGUUGGACCGCGGGAAAUACUAUCUGGCUAGAGAGUGGGAGAGGUUAGCGGUAUUCUGGGGGUAGGGGCGGAAUCCUUUGAUCCCCGGAGGACCACCAGUGGCGAAGGCUGCUGACUAGAACACGUCCGACGGUCAGGGACGAAAGCUGGGGUAGCGAACCGGAUUAGAUACCCGGGUAGUCCCAGCCGUAAACGAUGCAUGCUAGGUGUUGGGUUGGCCACGAGCCACCCCAGUGCCGCAGGGAAGCCGUUAAGCAUGCCGCCUGGGAAGUACGAUCGCAAGGUUGAAACUUAAAGGAAUUGGCGGGGGAGCAC
rnacentral:rRNA from 2 species